ACAGAGGCGGCAAGCGUUGUUCGGAAUUAUUGGGCGUAAAGGGCGUGCAGGCGGUUGGCUAAGUUCGUUGUGAAAGCGCCCAGGCUUAACCGGGGGAGGACCAUGAAGACUGGUCAGCUAGAGGACGGUAGAGGGGUGUGGAAUUCCGGGUGUAGUGGUGAAAUGCGUAGAGAUCCGGAGGAACACCAGAGGCGAAGGCGACACCCUGGGCCGUACCUGACGCUAAGACGCGACAGCACGGGGAGCGAACGG
rnacentral:rRNA from 1 species